rnacentral:misc_RNA from 1 species
CCUCUAUCCCCAACCACAAAAAGUCCAGGUUUAUACUCCCUGCAUAAUGGAUUUUACUUUUCGUUUCAUUAUCAAUUCAUAAUUGAUUAUGUUUUUCAUUCAUUCUACUCUUUCAUAAACGGAUUUGAGGAUAAAUCUUUUCUAAAGUAUUUUUAUACGUACAAAAAACAUUUUUUCGUAAGGAAUUCCCAUUUUCAUAAUUCACAUUGUUAUCUUUUUUAAUUGACUUUUUAAUUGACAUAGAACUAAGCUAUACAAUAAAAUGAAGAUAAGACAUUGAUAAUGAUAAUGGCCGGGAUAGCUCAGUCGGUAGAGCAGAGGACUGAAAAUCCUCGUG